GAUGAACGCUGGCGGCGUGCCUAAUACAUGCAAGUAGAACGCUGAAGGAAGGAGCUUGCUCUUUCCGGAUGAGUUGCGAACGGGUGAGUAACGCGUAGGUAACCUGCCUGGUAGCGGGGGAUAACUAUUGGAAACGAUAGCUAAUACCGCAUAACAGUAGAUGUUGCAUGAUAUCUACUUAAAAGGUGCAAUUGCACCACUACCAGAUGGACCUGCGUUGUAUUAGCUAGUUGGUGAGGUAACGGCUCACCAAGGCGACGAUACAUAGCCGACCUGAGAGGGGGAUCGGCCACACUGGGACUGGGACACGGCCCAGACUCCUACGGGGAGCAGCAGUAGGGAAUCGUCGGCAAUGGACGGAAGUCUGACCGAGCAACGCCGCGUGAGUGAAGAAGGUUUUCGGAUCGUAAAGCUCUGUUGUAAGAGAAGAACGAGUGUGAUAGUGGAAAGUGCACGCUGUGACGGUAUCUUACCAGAAAGGGACGGCUAACUACGUG
rnacentral:rRNA from 1 species